rnacentral:rRNA from 1 species
UCCAGACUCCUACGGGAGGCAGCAGUGGGGAAUAUUGGGCAAUGGGCGCAAGCCUGACCCAGCAACGCCGCGUGAAGGAAGAAGGCCCUCGGGUUGUAAACUUCUUUUAUAUAGGACGAAGAAGUGACGGUACUAUAUGAAUAAGCCACGGCUAACUACGUGCCAGCAGCCGCGGUAAUACGUAGGUGGCAAGCGUUAUCCGGAUUUACUGGGUGUAAAGGGCGUGUAGGCGGGAAAGCAAGUCAGAUGUGAAAACCAUGGGCUCAACCUGUGGCCUGCAUUUGAAACUGUUUUUCUUGAGUACUGGAGAGGCAGACGGAAUUCCUAGUGUAGCGGUGAAAUGCGUAGAUAUUAGGAGGAACACCAGUGGCGAAGGCGGUCUGCUGGACAGCAACUGACGCUGAGGCGCGAAAGCGUGGGGAGCAAACAGGAUUAGAUACCCUAGUAA